rnacentral:rRNA from 1 species
UACGUAGGUGGCGAGCGUUGUCCGGAUUUACUGGGCGUAAAGAGCGCGCAGGCGGUCGUGCAAGUCGCGUGUGAAAGCCCCCGGCUCAACUGGGGAGGGUCACGCGAUACUGCUCGACUUGAAGGCAGGAGAGGGAAGUGGAAUUCCCGGUGUAGUGGUGAAAUGCGUAGAUAUCGGGAGGAACACCAAUGGCGAAGGCAGCUCGCUGGGACGGUACUGACGCUGAGGUGCGAAAGCGUGGGGAGCGAACAGG